CUGGCUCAGGACGACGCUGGCGGCGUGCCUAACACAUGCAAGUCGAGCGGGGACUGCACGACGGAUUGAAGAUUUCGGUUGGAUAUGAAGAUGUACAGUUCUAGCGGCGGACGGGUGAGUAACGCGUGAGCAACCUGUCCCUUACAGGGGGAUAACACAGCGAAAGUUGUACUAAUACCGCAUGAGACCACGAUAUCACAUGGUAUAGGGGGUCAAAGGAGCAAUCCGGUAAGGGGUGGGCUCGCGUCCGAUUAGAUAGUUGGUGAGGUAACGGCCCACCAAGUCGACGAUCGGUAGCCGACCUGAGAGGGUGAUCGGCCACAUUGGGACUGAGACACGGCCCAAACUCCUACGGGAGGCAGCAGUGGGGAAUAUUGGGCAAUGGGGGGAACCCUGAACCCCCAGCAACGCCGCGUGAGGGAAGAAGGUUUUCGGAUCGUAAACCUCUGUCCUAUGUGAAGAGGAAGAGACGGUAGCAUAGGAGGAAGCCCCGGCUAACUACGUGCCAGCAGCCGC
rnacentral:rRNA from 1 species